UAAAAUUUUUACUCAUACUGUUAGACGGAUAGCUUGGUUUAAGCUGUGAUGAAGGACGUGGCAAGCUGCGAUAAGCUCUGGGGAUUUGCAUGCGAGAUUUGAUCCAGAGAUUUCCGAAUGCGAGAACGCAAUAAAUCUGAGAAGAAAACACACGCUGGGAAUUGAAACAUCUUAGUACCGGCAGGAAGAGAAAACAAAUAUGUGAUACCCUUAAUAGCAGCGAGCGAACAGGGAAUAGGGCAAACUGAAUCUCUUUCGAAAGAAAGCAAGAGAUGUGGUGAACUAUAUGUCCUAAAUCAGGAACCAAAAUUCUCUGGAACGAGAUGCCUUAGAGAGUGAUAGCCUCGUAGGUUCAACUGAUAUGGAUAUGUUUAAUAGAGUAGUGUAUCUCGAAUUAGAUGCAUGAAUAUGGCAGAAUUAACUGCUAACCCUAAAUAUUAGCUUAAGUCCGAUAGCGAACUAGUACUGCGAAGGAAUGCUGAAAAGAACUCUUAAAAGAGAGUUAAAAGACUUGAAAUCUAACAGUUACAGUUGGUUACUGCCCUCUAAGGAGGGUUGUAACGUACGUCUUGAAAAACGGCCCAAGGAGUUCAAUCAAGUGGCAAGGUUAACAUUAGGUAGCCAAAGCGAAAGCAAGUUAGAAAUAGCGUUAGUCACUUGUGUGAGACCUGAAGCCAGAUGAUCUAAUCAUGAGCAAGAUGAAGUUUUCCGAAAGGAAAAUGGAGGUCUGAACAAUUGUUGUAUGCAUGCACUAUGAUGAUUUGUGAUUAGGGGUGAAAAGCCUAUCGAAUCUGGCAAUGGCUGGUUCCUGCUGAAAUAUGCCUACGUAUAGUCUCAUUAUUCUUCCCUACGGUGUAAAGUACGGAUAGGUGUUGCAGAGGGUUUUUCCUACGGACAACUUUCCAACUCGGAAACUGUAGGGCGAAAAUAAUGGGAAACAGUGGCUCCGCGUAAGGUGGAGUCACGAGACCCGAACAAGGGAGACUAUAGUUAAGGUCCUAAAAUUCAUGUUAAGUGUAUCAAAGGGAGUCUUAAACCUGAGACACUGGGGAGGUAGACAUAGAAGCCGUCAUCCUUUAAAGAAAGCGUAACAGCUCACCUAUCGAGGUUUGAGGCCCUGAAAAUGGACAGGACUAAAACAUGAUACCGAUACUAUAGACAUACUUCUGUGGAAGUAUUGUGGUAAGCAGGCGUCUUUUCUGCUGAGAAGUUUCUUCGAGAGAAGGAAUGGAGCGGGAAGGAAUGAGAAUCUUGGGAGGAGUAAGAACUAAUUUCGCUGAGAAUCGCGAAAUAUCGUAAGGGCAAGGUUUCCUUGGCAAUAACAAUUAACCAAGGGUUAGUCAGAACCUAAGUCACUCUUUAAUAGGAAGUGGUAAUGGAUAGUAGGUUAAUAUUCCUGCACUAUGUAAAUUCGUUUGAGUGCACGACUCGCUUCAGGAUAAGCAAAUUUUCGAGAGAAAGUCUUUGUGAAGAAAAUUAGGGAAUGUAAUGUUUAGAUCUAAAAAAAUUCAUAAAGUAAAAGUUGCUGAUUCCAGGAGCCAGUGAAAAGGUUGUGUAUAGAAAAUACAUAUCUGUACCUAGAUUUGACACUGAUGCCCUAGCUGAGAAGGCUAAGAUAUGAAAGUUUAACGUGGUUAAGGGAAUUCGGCAACAUUGGCCCUUUAGCUUAGGUAGAAGGGGUGUCUAUCUUUGUGUUUUUAGAAAUGGAAAUGCAUUGGUAGAUUUCAAUAACAAGGACGGUCCGACUGUUUAUCAAAAACGUAGCCGGUUGCUAAUCUGAAAAGACUUGUAUAACCGGUGAAGCCUGCCCAGUGGUGGUGCUUCAAAGCGUGUUUCAACGCGUCUAAGACCCAUCAAACGGCGGGUCUAAUUCCUGAGACUCUUAAGGUGGAUUACACUGCCUUACAUUCAAGAUUUACUCUAUAAAUUUGCCUCGCUAUCACUCGUUAAUAUUUUAUUAAUUAAUAAUAUUAAAUAAGUGGGGCAAGGUGAAGAAAAAUUAUUAGAGAAGUUUUGAAUGCUUUAAAGUUCGCGAGAAUUUUAUUGUUAACUCAACUAUAUGCUGGAACAUCUCAAAGAAACUUUGUACUCGCCAAAAAAUUGGCAGUGAAAAUCAAAGUGGAGAGACAAUCAGCAGGGAAGACUAGAAUGAAUUUGAAGUCAUAACAAAGUAUUUAAAUAAAAAGUAUUUAAAUAAAAAAUAUUUCAAUAAAAUAUGAAUUUUAAACUGACUAAGCUUAAAGUAAUAUUAUCGAUAAUUAUUGGUUUAAUAAUUGGUAAUUUAAUUGGAUGGAAACAAAUCAUAAUACCUACUGACUUAGUAUGGAGAUUUGUUUGGGGUCCGUUUAUAUUAUUUUUUAUUGUAUCAACAAUAUUAAUUUAUAUUAUUUGGAGUUUGAUCCAAAAGAAAAAAUAAUUCUAGAACCCUCAGAGACUACAUGUUGAGAAUUAUUAUUUAAAAUAAUAAUUAAGAUAUAGUCCGAACUUCAUAGCGAUAUGAAGAAUUAAUAAGAAAUUAUUAAUCACCAAAAUUUAUUUUGGGAAGUAACAUCAAUUGAGCGUAAUACCUUGUCGUCUGAAUGGCGACUUGCAUGAAUGGCUUAACGAGAUUGUCACUGUCCCUAACCACGAGCUUCUGAAAUUAUUGUCCGGUGAACAGACCGGAGACACCUAACGGGAAGCUAAGACCUUGUGGACCUUUACUGCAACUUGUUGUUGCUAAUUUAUGAUGGAUACAUAGAAUAAGUAGGAGAAUACGCGCAGUUUCGGCGAGGCGGCUCACAAUAUGUAAUACUACUUAUCUUUUGUAGAUUGGCUUACUCUUUACGAGGACACCAGCAGGCGGGCAGUUUGCCUGGGGCGGGACCCCUCUGAAAAGAUAUCGGAGGGGCCUAAAGACAAGCUCAUCCAGGUCGGAAAUCUGGAGUAGAGUGUAAGGGCAAAAGUUUGUCUAACUGUUUUCAAAACAACACUGAAAGCAGAAUUGAAAGAUGGGCCUAGCGAACCAUUGAGAAUUUUUAAUGGAUUCCAAUUGUGGCAGAAAAGGUACCCCAAGGAUAACUGGGUCGUUUCCCCCGAUAGUUCAUAUUGACGGGGAAGCUUGCUACACCGCCGUCGGCUCUCCCUAUCCUGGCUGUGCACAAGCAGCCAAGGGUGCUGGAGUUCACAUAUUAAAAGGGAUCGUUAGCUGGGUUAAGAUCGUCGUGAGACAGAUUGUAUGAUAUCUAUUAGGUGUGUCGUUGUUUGAGUGGAAGGAUCCUGUAGUACGAGAGGAACCAGGGUUCGAAGCCUCUGGUCUAGCAGUUGUUAAGAGCAGGCUGCGCAGCUACGCUUCAAAUGGAUAAGCGCUGAAAGCAUCUAAGCACGAAGCCAUCCGCAAGACGAAACAACAGAAGCCGUCGCAGAAGACGACGUUGAUAGAGUUGAUGUGUAAGAUCCAAGACACCGAGGAUUUCAGCAUGCAACUACUAAAAGCUUCAAUUUAAAUUUUC
rnacentral:rRNA from 1 species